AUUGAACGCUGGCGGCAUGCCUUACACAUGCAAGUCGAACGGCAGCACGGGUGCUUGCACCUGGUGGCGAGUGGCGAACGGGUGAGUAAUACAUCGGAACAUGUCCUGUAGUGGGGGAUAGCCCGGCGAAAGCCGGAUUAAUACCGCAUACGAUCUACGUAUGAAAGCGGGGGACCUUCGGGCCUCGCGCUAUAGGGUUGGCCGAUGGCUGAUUAGCUAGUUGGUGGGGUAAAGGCCUACCAAGGCGACGAUCAGUAGCUGGUCUGAGAGGACGACCAGCCACACUGGGACUGAGACACGGCCCAGACUCCUACGGGAGGCAGCAGUGGGGAAUUUUGGACAAUGGGCGAAAGCCUGAUCCAGCAAUGCCGCGUGUGUGAAGAAGGCCUUCGGGUUGUAAAGCACUUUUGUCCGGAAAGAAAUACUUGGCCCUAAUACGGUCGGGGGAUGACGGUACCGGAAGAAUAAGCACCGGCUAACUACGUG
rnacentral:rRNA from 1 species